UUCAAAGUCUAAAUUACAAAUACAAAUAGUAAUCCACAAGUACUUGUCUUACUUAACAAACUCGAAACAUAUGACGCAAGUUCAUAACUCAGUCUACAAAACAUAUUAUAUAUUUAAAACUUUAACAUCAAUGAGUCAAAGUUGUUUCAUAUUGAGGUUCCAUUUCUUCACCAUUUAAGUCCAAAGCUUGACUAACGUUGUCUUCAACUAGGUUCACAUUCUCCAUAGGGUUGAGUUAUGCAUCAUCAUCAUCUUCUAAAUUUAAUUGAUCUACAACAAUAUCAUUUUUCAUACACCAAACUAAAUGUUCUUUCACACAUUUAACUGCUGAAAUACAGGGCACAAUAUCAUUCUGCCUUGGAUUUUUCAGAUUAUAAAACAAAAGGAUAAAAAAGAACUUCUCCAAUUCAACAACCAGGUGCCUGCAAACAAUUAGAAAAAAUUAAAAUAUAUAAAACAGAUAAAAACAAAUGAAUGAAAAUGGUGAGGUAAGAAGCACUAAGCAAUGGAUAAUGAAAGAAUAACUAAGAAAGUUUUUAUCACUAGGAAUGGUAACAAAAACUAAUGUUGGGAAAGUUAUUUUGUAAUAUGAAUCGAAUUAUCCCAAAAAAAAGAGGUUUUGGUGGCUGCAUUAUAUGGUCAUGUUCAUAAAAUUGAAUUUCUAUAGGUUAGCCGGCACAAUUUAGAGGAGGUGGUCUGAAUUCUCCAAACCAAAAAUGAAUUCUAACUUGUGCUUAUCUAUCCAAAAACACUAAAGACUAAGAAGGAAGGAAGUGUGGAAGUGAGAUGAAAAAGGAUUAAGAAGAAAUGGGAUUAAGAAUUGAGAAGGAAGGAAGGGUUUGUUCGUGUGAAUGAAGAAAAUGAGUUUCUAAUUCUAUGUGGUAUGUGCCUAUGUGAGGUUUUUAAAAAUUACAUGUAUGAACCGACCGGUUCAAUCAAAUUCCGGCUGAUUCAUAGGUUUUGACACGAUUCAUUGGUUUUUCUCUAGUUUACACCGAUUUUGAUGCUUAGCUGACACAACACUUGUUUCAUAUCGGUUAUGGGACCGGUUGGCCAGUUCUCUGGUCGAACCGGCCGGUCCGAACCGGUUUUAAUAACAUUGAUCCUUACCAAGUCAAACAUUAUCACAUUGUUUUCAUAAAAAGAGUCGAUGAAAAUCAACACGUGCCGGUGAUCCACAUUGAACAUCACAUCAUUCUGUUUUCCUCUAUUAAUAAUAGUUUAAAUUCUAUUCCAUAAACUUUUUUAGUGUUAUAUAAAUGUAUAAGGAAUGAUAUAAGGAAAGUGUAAAAUAUUUGGAGACUAUCAAUAAAUAUUAAAUUAUAAAUUGUAAAAUGUAUAAUAACCAGUUUUAAUAUCUUAAACUUUGUGGAUAAAGAUUAUAUAUCCUGAAUAGUGUCCCAUUCUAUUUUUCAAGCCAAUUACAUAUUAUCACAUAAAUAAAAAAUUUAUUUUUAAAAAAGUAACAUUUUAAUUUGUUUGAGAAAUGAAAUAUAACACUGUUUGUGACAUAUAAUCAAUGUUCAAACUUUAUAUGAGUUGAGUCCUAAGGCUAUAUGAUAUGAAGUGAGUCUCGCGAUUCUACGAGGCUUUGAGAAGUACUAUAAUUUAUUAGCAAAAUUUGAACUGGUGGACUUAUGUAAUAUAAACUAUUUUUUUAUCAAUUGGACCAACCUUGGUUGGUCCAUUCAUGUCUGGUUAAUAGUUAGGACUUUCUAACGGAUCCAACUUACGGGAUUCAUAGUGCAAGACUUGCAUGGACACAUGUCCAAUAAACACAAAUAAUGCUAAUUAUUAAGUUUGGAAUUUAGAUAUAAUGAAACUUUAACAAGAGUUUUAUUGUUUUUAAAAUCUUGUAACAAAUUUAAUAAUUUAUAUCAUAUAUAUAUAAUAUAUAAAUAAAAGUUUGCUAAUAUGAGUCAUCAAUAUGUUAGUAGAAUGUAGAUAAAAGUUGGAUAAAAAAUACUCUCAUUUACUCUACAUGAAACAAUUAUAUAGUCAAAGUUAUUUUUUAAAUUGCUUAUUAAAAAUAAAAAAUAAAAAAACUGUUUUUAUUUCCUCUUCCAAACAAACAUUAUUCCACACCUUUCUAUUCUAUAAAUUGUUCCUCAAAUUUCCUUAGGGAUCACAUAUGCUAUCCCAUACAAAUGUGUCACUCCAUGUGUCAUUUAUCCUAAUUGGUUGGAAAAAUUAUAUAUUAGUUAAAAAUUUAAUAAUAAAUUAUUUUUCUAACCAAUCAGAAGAAGUGACAUGAAGUAAUAUACUUUUUGGGACAGAAGACGUGCUGCUAUUCAAUUAACACUAACAACUUGACACCAUAUAUAAUUAUAUACGUGGUUAAUUUACCUUUGCACUUUUUUAGAAAUAAUUAUGUAAAUAGAGCAGUUUUUAAACUAUUUAUAAAUUUGUGAUUAGUUCUAAAAAAUAUUUACUAAAAUAAAGCAGUCAAAAUAAAUUAUUUAUCAAAAUGGGUAGUCAUAGUUAAAGUAAACUAGUGACAUACGUGUUGCAUGUUGAAGUAACGACACGUAGCAGCGUGCCCCCGCUCCUUUUUUUCAUUUUUAUAUUUUUAAAAUCAAACUUUUUUAAAAAAUUGCAUAAGAUAUUUAUUUAAAUUUUACUACUUUUUUCAAAAAUACAACAAUUUAUUUUAUAUCACUAAUUUAAAACUCCUACAACACAACUAAAACAAUUUAUACUUUCAAUCUCCACUAUCCAAAUUAUAAUGAGGUUGAGAAUGAGUAUUUAUAGGGUGGAGGGGAAUUAAUUUUGGUGGUUGAAAAUUGAGAGUUAUAAAGUUAGAUAGUUGAGAGUUGAUUGGUAUAAAUUGUUAUAGUUGGGUGGUAGAAAAUUUUAAAUAAGAGAUAUAAAAUAAAUUGUUGUAUGUUUUAAAUAAAAGUAAUAAAAUUUAAAUAAAUAUCUACAACAAAUCUUUUUUAUAAAAUUUGAUUUAAAAAAAUCUAAAAAUAAACAUAAAUAAAUUACCUUAUAGAUGAAGAAAGAAGAGGAUGAGUAGGAAGAAAAGAGUGGGAUAAAGUG
rnacentral:lncRNA from 1 species